rnacentral:rRNA from 1 species
AGCGAACGCUGGCGGCAGGCCUAACACAUGCAAGUCGAGCGCCCAGCAAUGGGAGCGGCAGACGGGAUAGUAACACGUGGGAACGUACCUUUCAGUUCGGAACAACCAAGGGAAACUUUGGCUAAUACCGAAUACGCCCGUAAGGGGAAAGAUUUAUCGCUGAAAGAUCGGCCCGCGUCUGAUUAGCUAGUUGGUGAGGUAAUGGCUCACCAAGGCGACGAUCAAUAGCUGGUCUGAGAGGAUGAUCAGCAUCACUGGGACUGAGACACGGCCCAGACUCCUACGGGAGGCAGCAGUGGGGAAUAUUGGACAAUGGGCGCAAGCCUGAUCCAGCCAUGCCGCGUGAGUGAUGAAGGCCUUAGGGUUGUAAAGCUCUUUCGUCAGGGAAGAUAAUGACGGUACCUGAAGAAGAAGCCCCGGCUAACUUCGUGCCAGCCGCCGCCGUAAAAC